rnacentral:lncRNA from 1 species
CUGUGGUGGCGGGCGCCUGUAGUCCCAGCUACUUGGGAGGCUGAGGCAGGAGAAUGGCGUGAACCCAGGAGGUGGAGUUUGCAGUGAGCCAAGAUUGCGCCAUUGCGCUCCAGCCUGGGCGACAGAGGGAAACUCUGUCUCAAAAAAAAAAGAAGUUUUCAUUUUACCUUUUCAAUAGAGCAAACAUACAUACUGAAAAGUGCUAAAUCAUAAUUAUACUUUCACAAUGUAUGAACUUUCACAAGUUGAACACACCCAGGUAAGCAGCACCCAAAUCAUGAAAUACUACAUGACCUCCCCUUAAAAAGAGACCCUUCCAGCCAGGUGCAGUGGCUCACACCUGUAAUCCCAGCACUCUGGGAGGCCAAGGCAGGUGGAUCACUAGAAGUCAGGAGUUCUAAACCAGCCUGGCCAACAUAGUGAAACCUUGUUCUACUAAAAAUACAAAAAAUUAGCCGGGCGUGGUAGUGGAUGCCUGUAAUCCCAGCUACUUGGGAGGCUGAGACAGGAGCAUCGCUUGAACCCGGGAGGCAGAGCUUGCAGUGAGCCGAGAUCGUGCCAUUGCACUCCAGCCUGGGCGACAGAGCGAGACUCCGUCGCAAAAAAAAAAAACUCUACCAGUCACUUCCCUCCAAAGAGGAGUAACCACUAUCCUGACUUCUAAUGCUCCAGAUUAGUAUUGCUUGGUUUUGUUCCUAUCUAAAGGAGAAAUAAAACAUAUCCUUAUAUGUGGCUUCUUCAACAUUGCUUUGUGAGACUCAUCCAUAUUGUAUGUAUUUGUGGUUUGCUGGUUCUCAUUGCUGCAUUAUCCUAUCCCAUUGCAUAUAUACCAUAAUUUCUCUCUUCUAAUGAUCAUUCAUCAGGAGGUCAGCAAGCAGAGAAUGGGUAACAACAAAAGCCCUUCUCCAGAGCUAAAAUUUCAAAAUGGUAACAGCUUGUGGUGCUGAAUCACACCAGGCAAGGUGAGGCCCUGCCCUGUGUCACUGACUUAACUGAUCAUUAUUUGUGCUUUUCAGAUGAAUGAAGUUACUUAUUCUACCCUGAACUUUGAAGCCCAGCAACCCACACAACCAACUUCAGCCUCCCCAUCCCUAACAGCCACAGAAAUAAUUUAUUCAGAAGUAAAAAAGCAGUAAUGAAACCUGUCCUGCUCACUGCAGUGCUGAUGUAUUUCAAGUCUCUCACCCUCAUCACUAGGAGAUUCCUUUCCCCUGUAGGGGUAGAGGGGUGGGGACAGAAACAACUUUCUCCUACUCUUCCUUCCUAAUAGGCAUCUCCAGGCUGCCUGGUCACUGCCCCUCUCUCAGUGUCAAUAGAUGAAAGUACAUUGGGAGUCUGUAGGAAACCCAACCUUCUUGUCAUUGAAAUUUGGCAAAGCUGACUUUGGGAAAGAGGGACCAGAACUUCCCCUCCCUUCCCCUUUUCCCAACCUGGACUUGUUUUAAACUUGCCUGUUCAGAGCACUCAUUCCUUCCCACCCCCAGUCCUGUCCUAUCACUCUAAUUCGGAUUUGCCAUAGCCUUGAGGUUAUGUCCUUUUCCAUUAAGUACAUGUGCCAGGAAACAAGAGAGAGAGAAAGUAAAGGCAGUAAUGCCUUCUCCUAUUUCUCCAAAGCCUUGUGUGAACUCACCAAACACAAGAAAAUCAAAUAUAUAACCAAUAGUGAAAUGCCACACCUUUGUCCACUGUCAGGGUUGUCUACCUGUAGGAUCAGGGUCUAAGCACCUUGGUGCUUAGCUAGAAUACCACCUAAUCCUUCUGGCAAGCCUGUCUUCAGAGAACCCACUAGAAGCAACUAGGAAAAUCACUUGCCAAAAUCCAAGGCAAUUCCUGAUGGAAAAUGCAAAAGCACAUAUAUGUUUUAAUAUCUUUAUGGGCUCUGUUCAAGGCAGUGCUGAGAGGGAGGGGUUAUAGCUUCAGGAGGGAACCAGCUUCUGAUAAACACAAUCUGCUAGGAACUUGGGAAAGGAAUCAGAGAGCUGCCCUUCAGCGAUUAUUUAAAUUAUUGUUAAAGAAUACACAAUUUGGGGUAUUGGGAUUUUUCUCCUUUUCUCUGAGACAUUCCACCAUUUUAAUUUUUGUAACUGCUUAUUUAUGUGAAAAGGGUUAUUUUUACUUAGCUUAGCUAUGUCAGCCAAUCCGAUUGCCUUAGGUGAAAGAAACCACCGAAAUCCCUCAGGUCCCUUGGUCAGGAGCCUCUCAAGAUUUUUUUUGUCAGAGGCUCCAAAUAGAAAAUAAGAAAAGGUUUUCUUCAUUCAUGGCUAGAGCUAGAUUUAACUCAGUUUCUAGGCACCUCAGACCAAUCAUCAACUACCAUUCUAUUCCAUGUUUGCACCUGUGCAUUUUCUGUUUGCCCCCAUUCACUUUGUCAGGAAACCUUGGCCUCUGCUAAGGUGUAUUUGGUCCUUGAGAAGUGGGAGCACCCUACAGGGACACUAUCACUCAUGCUGGUGGCAUUGUUUACAGCUAGAAAGCUGCACUGGUGCUAAUGCCCCUUGGGGAAAUGGGGCUGUGAGGAGGAGGAUUAUAACUUAGGCCUAGCCUCUUUUAACAGCCUCUGAAAUUUAUCUUUUCUUCUAUGGGGUCUAUAAAUGUAUCUUAUAAUAAAAAGGAAGGACAGGAGGAAGACAGGCAAAUGUACUUCUCACCCAGUCUUCUACACAGAUGGAAUCUCUUUGGGGCUAAGAGAAAGGUUUUAUUCUAUAUUGCUUACCUGAUCUCAUGUUAGGCCUAAGAGGCUUUCUCCAGGAGGAUUAGCUUGGAGUUCUCUAUACUCAGGUACCUCUUUCAGGGUUUUCUAACCCUGACACGGACUGUGCAUACUUUCCCUCAUCCAUGCUGUGCUGUGUU